rnacentral:rRNA from 1 species
UACAGAGGGUGCAAGCGUUAUUCGGAAUUAUUGGGCGUAAAGGGUGCGUAGGCGGUCUGACAAGUCUGAUGUGAAAUCUAUGGGCUCAACCCAUAGUCUGCAUCGGAAACUGUCGGGCUGGAGUAUGGGAGAGGUGAGUGGAAUUUCCGGUGUAGCGGCGAAAUGCGUAGAUAUCGGAAGGAACACCUGUGGCGAAAGCGGCUCACUGGACCAUUACUGACGCUGAUGCACGAAAGCUAGGGGAGCAAACAGG